rnacentral:misc_RNA from 1 species
AAUUCUCAACCAUGACUUUGUUGACAUGGCUUGGAGUUGGGGGUUGCUGGCUUGUUUGUCAGCUCUCCUGAAAUACAUUAGCGGUGGACAAGCAAGGCCUUCCGACGUGAUAAUGAUCGUCGUGGGGCGGAGCAUCAACGUCUGUCUGCUUCUAAAUCCCAGAUGCCUUAGCUAGACAUCAUUUCGAAC